ensembl:lncRNA
AGCGCAGACAGCAAUAAAACGUUCUGCUCAGCUGAAGUGGUCUUUAGUUUCUACAAACAGAUCACAGAGAGAUUUGUUUCUGCACGAUACAACGAUUUUCAAAAAUGAGGAGGAAUCACAAAGAGACACCUCAGCAUCAAGCUAUGCUGGGAUUAAGGAGUAGUAAAAUGGACAGAGCAAGAGAAGGAGUGGCGAUGACGUUCGCUCCAGAAUUGAGUAACAGGCCUACAAAUCAAGAUUUCUGCCAGGAAACUGCACGACCUGAGGAAGUUCUGGCACAUGGGAAAAAUAGUAUGCACUCUAUGGCAAAGCAGAACAUCCACGUAGUUAGCAUUAACAAAUCCAGAAAUAAAUUAGUCGACCCCGUAAAGAUUUUAGAAGGUAAACGAGCAGGUGCUGGUAAGAUAUGAAAUAUUGUCUUUUAUCAGAGCAAAUUACUUAUAAACCAACCAAUUUUAAUUUUCAAAGAGUACACACAAGGCUAAUUGCUUGUGUUGUGUCUAAUUGAAAGGACCUGCAGCAAAGAGCCCUGGGAAACCAAAACUUCUUCCCAGAAUGCCCAGAAUGGAUCCAAUUGUUCAUCCCCCAUUUAGAGCACUGAUGCGCAAGGAAACGUUAAGCGAAACAUAUGGCAAUCCUCAGGCACAUGGGGAAAAUAGCAUGUGCACUACGGCAAAGAAGAAUAUCCGCUUACGUGUCGCUAACACAACCAGAAAGAAAUCAGUCAAACCCAGAAAGACCAUAGAAGUAUUUGGACAAGCAGGUGCUGGACCUGCAGCAAAGAGCCCUGGGAAACCAAAACUUCUUCCUAGAAAGCCCAGAAUGGAUCCGAUUGGUCAUCCCUCAUUUAGAGCACUGAUGCGCAGGGAAAAGUUAAGCAAAACAUCCAGCAAUCCUCAGGUACUUACAGGUACUACAGAGGUAAAGAGUAAGUAUCUUGAGCCUACAAUUAAGGUAGAACCUCAAUUAAGAACUAACAUUACUGAUGCUGUCCUGGAUUGCAUAACCUCUGGAUCGUUCAAGAAUCAGCUCACUCUGCGCAUUGUGGGUGAAAUUGAUGAUAUACUAGCAAAAGCUGUGUCCCAGGUUCACAAGCAACAGCAUCCCGUGAGAUUCAGUGCAGCAGGGGAUAAGAUAAACAACAUCUCCCGGGAACAACAAUCAAGCAACAAUGUUUUCAUGCCUGGCUUCAGUGAUGGUGUGGCAUCUAUGAUUGGUUGUGCACUGAUAGAACUUAGAGAAGAUGUGAAAAAAACUUUUACAAGCCAGUCACACGAAUUUCAGACAGCCUCACCAACGGCAUGCGAUUCUACAACAGAAAUAGUGGAGAGUCUCUUUGAAAGUAUGCUUGAUUCCUUGAUUCCUCAACUGAAACCAGAUGUUAGCACUGAAAAGGAUCCUAGCACGAUUGAUUCUCUUUAUAGCUAUGAGUUUGAUACAGUGUCUGAUAGUAUCCUUCCCAGCACUGACUCAGAUGUCAACCAGAGUCCAGUCCAUGAGCCAAGAGGAGGUGCUGAUGACGAGUCUAGCAUCACAGCUCAGGACAUUGAGACAUUAGACAUUGUGAAAGAGAGAGCUGACUCCCCAAGAAGAUCUACCAAAGUCCCAUUCUCCACAGUAUUUGACCAGUCUUCUGGACCUGAAGUUAAGGCCAAAGAUGAGGUUGAGGGCAUCUUGGCUGCUUCUGGAAGCAUGAGCCCCCUUGAUGACCCUCUGACUUCAAGAGUCAAAUCUGACUCCUAUUUGGAUGCAAGCGUUCUUGAGGUCACUGCUACUUCUUCAACAGAAAAUGUUGACCACAUGUCAAGAUCUGAUGAAGUUGCAGAAGAAGGACUUUUGGCUAAAUCAGAUGUUGAGCUUGAGCAAAUCAUGGCUGCUCCUUCUGAGGAAAACACUCCUUCUGACAUUACAUCCCAAAGCCUUCACCAGGAAUGUACUAGCCCUGUCCCUUCACCACCUUCUAGUGAUAAGCCAACCUCCCCAAGAGGAUCUGCCAGGAGAAGGGCAUGUCCUGUAAAAGUCAGCUCUUUGCCAAACAUAUUCUCUGACAGAGGAGAUGGCAUCUUUGACCAGUCUCACCAAAAGUUAGAGAGUGUUGACAAGCGUAGACUUUCUCUGACUGGCAUGGAAAUGGGUUCUUCUGAAAACAGAAGCGGCCUUGAUGGGCCUCUGAGUUCAUCUGAAGCAUCUGAUGUUGAAGAAGCUGCAGCAAAAUCAGCUGGUUACAAAGCAGUACUCUGUUGAAAUUAUUCUGAUGUAUUAAAUUAGUGCAAAUAAAUGAACCAUCCAUUCAUUAUCUUUUUACACUGUUCUUUCUUGUUUCCAAAUUGUAGCCUCCCCAAGAAGAUUGUUGUGGGAAAUAAUCUUUCCAGCUUAACAAAAA